rnacentral:rRNA from 1 species
AUGAACGCUAGCUACAGGCUUAACACAUGCAAGUCGAGGGGCAGCAUCAUCAAAGCUUGCUUUGAUGGAUGGCGACCGGCGCACGGGUGAGUAACACGUAUCCAACCUGCCGACAACACUGGGAUAGCCUUUCGAAAGAAAGAUUAAUACCGGAUGGCAUAAUUAUUCCGCAUGGGAUAAUUAUUAAAGAAUUUCGGUUGUCGAUGGGGAUGCGUUCCAUUAGGCAGUUGGCGGGGUAACGGCCCACCAAACCUACGAUGGAUAGGGGUUCUGAGAGGAAGGUCCCCCACAUUGGAACUGAGACACGGUCCAAACUCCUACGGGAGGCAGCAGUGAGGAAUAUUGGUCAAUGGACGAGAGUCUGAACCAGCCAAGUAGCGUGAAGGAUGACUGCCCUAUGGGUUGUAAACUUCUUUUAUACGGGAAUAAAGUGAGCCACGUGUGGCUUUUUGUAUGUACCGUAUGAAUAAGGAUCGGCUAACUCCGUGCCAGCAGCCGCGGUAAUACGGAGGAUUCGAGCGUUAUCCGGAUUUAUUGGGUUUAAAGGGAGCGUAGGCGGGUUGUUAAGUCAGUUGUGAAAGUUUGCGGCUCAACCGUAAAAUUGCAGUUGAUACUGGCGACCUUGAGUGCAACAGAGGUAGGCGGAAUUCGUGGUGUAGCGGUGAAAUGCUUAGAUAUCACGAAGAACUCCGAUUGCGAAGGCAGCUUACUGGAUUGUAACUGACGCUGAUGCUCGAAAGUGUGGGUAUCAAACAGGAUUAGAUACCCUGGUAGUCCACACAGUAAACGAUGAAUACUCGCUGUUGGCGAUAUACAGUCAGCGGCCAAGCGAAAGCAUUAAGUAUUCCACCUGGGGAGUACGCCGGCAACGGUGAAACUCAAAGGAAUUGACGGGGGCCCGCACAAGCGGAGGAACAUGUGGUUUAAUUCGAUGAUACGCGAGGAACCUUACCCGGGCUUAAAUUGCAACUGACGGAACCGGAAACGGUUCUUUCUUCGGACAGUUGUGAAGGUGCUGCAUGGUUGUCGUCAGCUCGUGCCGUGAGGUGUCGGCUUAAGUGCCAUAACGAGCACAACCCUUACGGGUAGUUACCAUCAGGUUAUGCUGGGGACUCUACCCGGACUGCCGUCGUAAGAUGUGAGGAAGGUGGGGAUGACGUCAAAUCAGCACGGCCCUUACGUCCGGGGCUACACACGUGUUACAAUGGGGGGUACAGAAGGCAGCUACACGGCGACGUGGUGCUAAUCCCAAAAGCCUCUCUCAGUUCGGAUUGGAGUCUGCAACCCGACUCCAUGAAGCUGGAUUCGCUAGUAAUCGCGCAUCAGCCACGGCGCGGUGAAUACGUUCCCGGGCCUUGUACACACCGCCCGUCAAGCCAUGAAAGCCGGGGGUACCUGAAGUACGUAACCGCGAGGAGCGUCCUAGGGUAAAACUGGUGAUUGGGGCU